rnacentral:lncRNA from 1 species
GCCCGCUCCGCCUGGCUGAGAACCCAGAUCCGCGCUUGUACAGGGCGGCCGGUCGCCUCCGCCUUCAGGACCUGCGGGGCGCGCGCGAGGUGGAGAUGAGAGGUCUGGACUUCUGAACGUCUAUCAGGAAAGAUGAGAUGAGCAAGCCCUUCAGAAUGCUGCGGAGGUUGGGGCUAAACUGAAGUGGGAGAGAAGAGAUGCUGGUCUGAGGGAACACGCCGAAUCAGCCCGCUGCAGACAGGCAGGUCUGCCCACGCCUUACCGAGGACCCCAGUCAUCACGCGGAAUACGCCGAAUCAGCCCACUGCACACAGGAAGAUCUGUGCACACCCUACCGAGGUCCUGAGUCUUGAGGAAGACACUGAAUCACCCCGCUGCAGACAGACAGCCACCUGGUUCCGCACUACAAAGACGCAGGGGAACCAGACCACCAGACCAAGGUACUGAGUCCCACUUCACUGUUCCCG